GAAUGAACGCUGGCGGCGCGCCUAAUACAUGCAAGUCGAGCGAGAAGACGUAGCAAUACGUUUGUAAAGCGGCGAACGGGUGAGGAAUACAUGGGUAACCUACCCUCGAGUGGGGAAUAACUAGCCGAAAGGUUAGCUAAUACCGCGUACGCUUCUUGGACUUCGGUUCAGGGAGGAAAGCGAUACCGUGGGUAUCGCGCUCUUGGAUGGGCUCAUGUCCUAUCAGCUUGUUGGUGAGGUAACGGCUCACCAAGGCUUCGACGGGUAGCUGGUCUGAGAGGACGAUCAGCCACACUGGCACUGCGACACGGGCCAGACUCCUACGGGAGGCAGCAGUAAGGAAUAUUGCGCAAUGGGCGAAAGCCUGACGCAGCGACGCCGCGUGGGGGAUGAAGGUCUUCGGAUUGUAAACCCCUUUCGGG
rnacentral:rRNA from 1 species